GGAUGUGAGGGCAAUCUGGCUGUGACAUCUGUCACCCCUUUGAUUGCCAGGGUUGAUUCGGCUGAUCUGGCUGGCUAGGCAGGUGUCAUCUUCCUUCCCCUCUGCUCCGUGUGCACCCCUCCCUCAUUUUUCAUGCUCCGUGAAGACGACAACUUUCCCUGAUAGCAGAGGACGGUUCUUCAGUUAAAGGUAGACGAGUAUCUGUGCUUCCCACUAAGAUCUCCAGACAAGCUCUCAAGGAUGCAGCUAGUGAUUUAUAGUAUUUAAAUUCUGAACCCUGGCCCCCGACCCCAGAGACACUGUAUACCAGUUUGUCUACACUU
rnacentral:snRNA from 1 species